rnacentral:misc_RNA from 1 species
GAUGAAGAACGCUGCGAAAUGCGAUAAGUAAUGUGAAUUGCAGAAUUCAGUGAAUCAUCGAAUCUUUGAACGCACAUUGCGCCCCCUGGUAUUCCGGGGGGCAUGCCUGUCCGAGCGUCAUUACAACCCUCAAGCUCAGCUUGGUGUUGGGCCCCGCCGCCCCGGCGGGCCCUAAAGUCAGUGGCGGUGCCGUCCGGCUCCGAGCGUAGUAAUUCUUCUCGCUCUGGAGGUCCGGUCGUGUGCUCGCCAGCAACCCCCAAUUUUUUUCAGGUUGACCUCGGAUCAGGUAGGGAUACCCGCUGAACUUAAGCAUAUCAAUAAGCGGAGGA